rnacentral:lncRNA from 1 species
UGGCAGAGGAAAUGCUUGCCUUUUUUUUUUUUUAAGUUUGUAUUUAUUUUUUAACCAGAAAACCCCAAGUCACUAGGGGCAUAAAACCAGUGUUCAGCCAAAAAAAGGAAAAGUUUCCAUUUUCUGUCCCAGAAGAACAUAAUACAUGUGCUUGGAAAAGUGGAAUUCUUUCUGAAAAUGUUUUACUGGUUUUGGCCAAAGAGGCUUCAUUUUUUCCCCUCGUUCAGUGAAAAGUUUAAAUUUUCAGUGGAAAUAAACUUCUCAGGUGGCUUUAAUAUUUAGCUCAUUUACAAUAUGUUCAGGGGAAAAAAGGGAGGAAAGUUUGUUCUUUGAGUGUGAUCCACCAGCAUGUCAUACAGAAGUUUGCAGGUUUUUCUUUUUUUUUUCCUCCACCCCUUCCCCAGGGAAGUCGGUGUCUGCAUGUGCCUUGCAUGAUUGCACUUCGUCAUUAAACGGAAUUAAAUUAAUGCCUACAAAGGGUCUGAACUGCUAAAGGUCGGGCCUUUACUUAAUCAGGUCACCCAGUGCUGAAGGAUUAAGAGAAACAUAGGACUUACUCCAGGCCUUGUAGAUAAGCAAGGCUCCUUGUUUAUACCAUCAUUUUGCAACAAGAGAUGGAACUGUUGCGUAGUCCCACCAGAUCGGAUUUUGGAGGCACCUUUUUCUCCACGGCAUCUGAACCCUGUUUCAUCUCAGUUUCUUUGCCAAAAGGAAGGAAAGUCUACAAGAGGCCAUGAAAUCCUGUUGGCAUUCACUGAGGGCAGAUGUUUCCUUGCUCGGGGCUGCGUUCCCACUCACCUCGUCUGCGCAGCCAUCGGUUCCCAGCCCUGCUGUGGCUCUGCCAGCAAACAAGCUUGUUGAAAGGACUGCUUUUUACUAAAGGCCUCCUUGAUUGUCAGCAGCUCACCCAGCCCCAACAACAGCUUCACAGAAGUUACCUCCCUGCACCCUCACAGCUUUGGCAUUUUGUCUCCACCCUGCUAAGACAGCUAACAUGGAUGUGUUUUAACAGUGUUGCUAACACAUGGGCAUCCAUCAGCUGGAUGCCAGAGCUCAUGCCCUGCUGA